rnacentral:misc_RNA from 1 species
UCCGACUUAACGUCGGCAGUCCCUUUAGAGUGCCCAACUAAAUGCUGGCAACUAAAGGCAAGGGUUGCGCUCGUUGCGGGACUUAACCCAACAUCUCACGACACGAGCUGACGACAGCCAUGCAGCACCUAUAUACAGACCCUUACGGGCGACGGCAUCUCUGCCGUCUUCCUGUACAUUUCGAGCCCAGGUAAGGUUUUUCGCGUUGCAUCGAAUUAAACCACAUGCUCCACCGCUUGUGCGGGCCCCCGUCAAUUUCUUUGAGUUUUAACCUUGCGGCCGUACUCCCCAGGCGGGACACUUAACGCGUUAGCUUCGGCACUGAAGGGGUCAAUACCUCCAACACCAAGUAUCCAUCGUUUACGGCGUGGACUAC